rnacentral:lncRNA from 1 species
UAUGUAUAUGGUGUAUGUGUAUAGAUACAUACACACACACACCAUAGACAGAGAAGAUAUUAAACAUCCAGAAAAAAAGAUCAUCUACAGAAAGACGAUGCUGAUAGCUAAUUUCUUAACCACAGCAACAAAAGAGAAGCCAAAAAAACACAAUGGAAUAUGAUCUAUAAUAUGCUGAUAAAAAUUUCACACCUGUUGAAACUAUCUUUCAGAAAUGAGGAUAAAAUAAAGUCAUUUUCAGACAAAAACUGGGAGAAUUUAUUAAUACAUUAUCAGUAAAUGCAGAAGGAAAAUGAUCCCAGCUGGAAUAUCUGAUUUGUAAAGAGUAAUGGUGGGAAAAAGUUUGAGUGAAUACAUAUAUUUGAGACAUUAUAUUCAUAUGAUGGAACACUACAUAGCAAUAAAAUGAACUUGGCUAUAUGUAUCGAGAUGUGUGAAUCUCAAAAGCAUGACAUUGAACUGAUGCAGCAAGACACAGAAUACAGGGAGAAGCACUAGAACUGUGAUUUCCUGAAGGAAAUAUAAUGAUCUGUUCAUCGAAGUAGAAGAUAUUGUUGGCCACGUGGGAUCGAAGACCAAAAACAUGCAGCG